rnacentral:rRNA from 1 species
UACAGAGGUCUCAAGCGUUGUUCGGAUUCAUUGGGCGUAAAGGGUGCGUAGGCGGCGCGGUAAGUCGGGUGUGAAAUCUCGGUGCUUAACUCCGAAACUGCAUUCGAUACUGCCGUGCUUGAGGACUGGAGAGGAGACUGGAAUUUACGGUGUAGCGGUGAAAUGCGUAGAUAUCGUAAGGAAGACCAGUGGCGAAGGCGGGUCUCUGGACAGUUCCUGACGCUGAGGCACGAAGGCCAGGGGAGCAAACGGG